rnacentral:rRNA from 1 species
GACGGGGGAUGCAAGCGUUAUCCGGAAUCACUGGGCGUAAAGCGUCUGUAGGUGGUGAUGCAAGUCACUGGUGCAAAACUCUGGCUCAACCGGAGGAAAGCCAGUGAAACUGCAUGACUAGAGUGUGGGAGCGGUAGAAGGAAUUCCAUGAGUAGCGGUGAAAUGCGUAGAUACAGGGAAGAACACCGGAGGCGAAAGCGUUCUACUGGAACCCAACUGACACUGAGAGAAGAAAGCUAGGGGAGCGAAUGGG